rnacentral:rRNA from 2 species
ACGGAAGGCAGCAGUAGGGAAUCUUCCACAAUGGGCGCAAGCCUGAUGGAGCAACACCGCGUGAGUGAAGAAGGGUUUCGGCUCGUAAAGCUCUGUUGUUGGAGAAGAACGUGCGUGAGAGUAACUGUUCACGCAGUGACGGUAUCCAACCAGAAAGUCACGGCUAACUACGUGCCAGCAGCCGCGGUAAUACGUAGGUGGCAAGCGUUAUCCGGAUUUAUUGGGCGUAAAGCGAGCGCAGGCGGUUGCUUAGGUCUGAUGUGAAAGCCUUCGGCUUAACCGAAGAAGUGCAUCGGAAACCGGGCGACUUGAGUGCAGAAGAGGACAGUGGAACUCCAUGUGUAGCGGUGGAAUGCGUAGAUAUAUGGAAGAACACCAGUGGCGAAGGCGGCUGUCUGGUCUGCAACUGACGCUGAGGCUCGAAAGCAUGGGUAGCGAACAGGAUUAGAUACCCUGGUA